AUUGAACGCUGGCGGCAGGCCUAACACAUGCAAGUCGAACGAGUGGCGGACGGGUGAGCAAUGGCUGGGAAACUGCCUGAUGGAGGGGUAUGACGACUGUAAACGGUAGCUAAUACCGCUUACCGUCAGAUGUGCCCAUGGGGGAUUAGCUUGUUGGUGGGGUAACGGCUCACCAAGGCGACGAUCCCUAGCUGGUCUGAGAGGAUGACCGGCCACACUGGAACUGAGACACGGUCCAGACUCCUACGGGAGGCAGCAGUAGGGAAUCUUGCACAAUGGGCGAAAGCCUGAUGCAGCCAUGCCGCGUGUAUGAAGAAGGUUUUCGGAUCGUAAAGCACUUUUAGCGGGGAAGCGGUACCCGAAGAAGAAGCACCGGCUAACUCCGUGCCAGCAGCCGCGGUAAUUC
rnacentral:rRNA from 1 species